rnacentral:tRNA from 1 species
AGAGAUUUAGGUUAACAACACCUAUAAACCAAGGACCUUCAAAGCCCUAAACAGAGGACCCGAAAACCUCUAAUCUCUG